rnacentral:lncRNA from 13 species
AUUGGACCCUGAGGGUGGUUUCCCCCAUGCUGUUCUUGUGAUAGUGAGUAAGUUCUCUUGAGAUCUGAUGGUUUUAUAAGCAUCUGGCAUUUCCCUGCUUGCACUUACUCUGUCCUGCCACCCGGAGAAGAAGGUGCCUGAUUCUUUUGCCUUCCACUGUGAUUGUAAGCAUCCUGAGGCCUCCCCAGCAAUGCAGAACUACCAUGCAGCUGGAGCAAGAAAAAACAAAGGUCAAUACCCUGGAACCAGGAAGAAAAGCCCCAGUCCUCCUGCAAGUGUCCCUCCGGCGCCCUCUACUGACAAAGCUUCACAUGGAUCUCAUUGUAAAGGAGAAAUGCUUGAAGAGUCCAGUCCAUUAUCACAGAGCAGAUGCAAUUGUGUUUCUGGAAAAGGCUGCACAUCACAUAAUAGGAAAUCCUGAGAGUGUGAAGACUGUUUCCUGCCAGUUGAAGCAUUGUUGUCUUUGGUAAGGUGGUGGGGCAGAGAGGGAGGAGCUGGCUGUGCCGGGGAGAUGAGGAGUGAAACUGCAGAGUCAGGGAAAGUGGAG